rnacentral:snRNA from 1 species
GGAUGUGAGGGGGAGUGGGCUGUGAUAUCUGUUAUCUGUUGAUCACCAGGGUUGAUUUAGCUGGCCUGGCUGGCUGGGUGGGUGUCCCCUUCAUCCCUCAUGGCACCAUGGACCUCUCUCUGGGAGCUGCAUGCUUGGUCAAGAGGAUGACUUUCCCUAAAUAGCAGAGGAGGACCUGACUCUGUUCAAGGGUGUAUGCGUAGCCAUGCUGCCUUGCCGGAGCCUCCAGAUAAGCUCUCAAAAGUAUUUUUACAGCCACUGCUGUUUGGCUUUUGUGUUGAAGGGAUUCACCGUGUGUGACUUUGUCUUCUUAU